rnacentral:tRNA from 1 species
GAGUUUUUGUAGUGUUAUCAACGUUUUCCCCUCCCCUGCUAAGGGAGUAGGCCGGGAAACCGGCGCGAGGGUUCAAAUCCCUCCUUCCGCGCCA